rnacentral:rRNA from 1 species
GACGAACCGAGCGAACGUUGUUCGGAAUCACUGGGCUUAAAGGGCGCGUAGGCGGGCUGUCAAGUCUGGGGUGAAAUCCCGCGGCUCAACCGUGGAACUGCCUCAGAUACUGACGGUCUCGAGGGAGGUAGGGGCGAGCGGAACUGAUGGUGGAGCGGUGAAAUGCGUUGAUAUCUGGAGGAAUACCGGUGGCGAAGGCGGCAUCCUGGACCAUAACUGACGCUGAGGCGCGAAAGCUAGGGGAGCAAACGGG